CCCGCUGAGUUUAAGCAUAUCAAUAAGCGGAGGAAAGGGCG
rnacentral:rRNA from 1 species